AGUAGAGUGGCUGAGGUUUGAAUAAGUGAUAGAUUGUAAGUCUAUUAAGGGGUUUUACCCCUCUACUA
rnacentral:tRNA from 1 species